rnacentral:piRNA from 1 species
UGGAUGAUAACAGUUGAACUGUCCUC